CACAACUCCUCAUGAUUUGUUCUUCCUCGUUCCCCAUUCUGCCGCCGCCAGUUUUGCACCAUCUCCUCUACCGCGAUUCAUUCUUCCUAAGGCACUCGUAGACCCAGUGAAGCACACCCGUCGCUGGGACCUUCCCAGAUACAUCGCCGAGGAGCUCAAAUCACUCGUCACCGAAGAAGUUGGCGCCGCCCCGUCGCCGGGGUGAUGUGCCAUGGUAGAUGCUACCACCCAACGGCAAGAGCUGCGCCGAGCAGUCGCCGGAAUGGCCUGCCGUGAUGGUCGCCAAGGCAAGGGCGACGACGUCCAGGCUGCUGCCGCUCUGUCUGGUGGUGGCGCACUGAGCAAGAGAGGGCGCCUGGUCAAGUUGCACUACGGUGGUCGGUAGUCUACGCCGAGCCGCCUCCGGGGUCUCCUUCGGUUGGGCCGCUGCUGCCCAUUCAUCAUUCAUUCUCCUCCCUUGUACUUCUGAUUAUUUGAGGCGUCUUAGGAUGUGUCGAUGCACAGGCAACCACGGUUCACUGGCGUCCAUAUCGGUGGAGAUGGUCAACAGGACAGGCGCAUGGUUCCGCGUAAAGACCGUGGCAGAUAUGGCGUCUCCCUUUGAUGAUUUUAGCAUAUACAAGAAGAUCUGUGGCCAUAAAAUCAUGGGCAUGAACCCUCUAGCUGGGCGGAUUGUGGUGGCUGCAGAGUAGUAUAAUUAGCUCUGGAACUGUGGGAUUACGGGUUCUGGUAAAUCCUUGAGGUUCAAACUCUAGGGUGCGCAUGAAGAUAUCUCUUCCCCUAGCUCAUGCUCUCACCACGAUUUCAAAGCUUAGCUUGCCGAACACAAAGAAUAAGGGACACAAGAGUUUAUACUGGUUCGGGCCACCAAUGUGGUGUAAUACUCUACUCCAGUGUGGUGUGGUGGAUUGCCUUGUAGGCUGGGAUGAACAAGUACAAGCAAAAACUACCUCCUGAGGAGAGGUGUUUUUGAGCUCGA